rnacentral:rRNA from 1 species
AGGACGAACGCUGGCGGCGUGCUUAACACAUGCAAGUCGAACGGUAAGGCCCCUUCGGGGGUACACGAGUGGCGAACGGGUGAGUAACACGUGGGUAAUCUGCCCUGCACUUCGGGAUAAGCCUGGGAAACUGGGUCUAAUACCGGAUAUGAACUCCUGCCGCAUGGUGGGGGUUGGAAAGUUUUUCGGUGCAGGAUGAGCCCGCGGCCUAUCAGCUUGUUGGUGGGGUAAUGGCCUACCAAGGCGACGACGGGUAGCCGGCCUGAGAGGGUGAUCGGCCACACUGGGACUGAGACACGGCCCAGACUCCUACGGGAGGCAGCAGUGGGGAAUAUUGCACAAUGGGCGAAAGCCUGAUGCAGCGACGCGCGUGGGGGAUGACGGUCUUCGGAUUGUAAACCCUUUCAGUAGGGACGAAGCGCAAGUGACGGUACCUGCAGAAGAAGCACCGGCUAACUACGUGCCAGCAGCCGC